AAAAAGUAAAAGAAGGGCAGACGGUGGAUGCCUUGGCUCUCGGAGGCGAUGAAGGACGUGAUAAGCUGCGAAAAGCCCGGUUGAGGUGCAAAUAACCCUUGACGCCGGGAUAUCCGAAUGGGGAAACCCGAUUGGUAGAAGACCAAUCACAUCGAAAGAUGGGCGAACGUGGGUACAAAAACCCUGACCUGCGUCGGCCCGAUCCUCCCGGACGAAUCUGGCAGCUAUAGCUUUAAGCACGUAUUUUACA
rnacentral:ncRNA from 1 species